AGCCAUACCACCUUAAAUGUGCCCGAUCUCAUCUGAUCUCAGAAGGUAAGCAGGGUCGGGCCUAGUUAGUAAUGAAAUACAGACAUUCCUCAUCUAACAACUGAGUUCACUUCCUAUAACUAGGUCAUU
ensembl:rRNA 5S_rRNA 5S ribosomal RNA